rnacentral:snoRNA from 1 species
AUUCGGCAUGAUAACUGGAUGAUGGUUUCAACAUUUCCUACGACCAAAGUCUUUUAAGUUGCCGAUAGAUUAAUGUUACCCAAGCGAAGGAAUCUUACACGUUUCUCUGAUCAACUACAUGAAGUCUUACGUUUAGUCAUUCGCUACAUCU